CUCCGCCUGUGGAAGAACGAUACAGAGACUGAUCGGUCUGAUCACGACAUUUCGUGGAACUGAACAGAGAAGCCAUCACUACUUAAUUUAAGACUGACAUGGAGGAAGGGGGAUGCAUAGAUAGAGACUGAUUGGUGAAGGUCGUUCCACCAUCAGGGGGCAGAGAACAGCCAGAACCGAGAGGAGCAGCAGCCAAGUGCCUGAAGCAAAGGGACAGCCAGCUGGCGAGAGGAUGUUGAAUGGAGCGGCUUGAGUGUAUAGGGUAAUCAUUGUCUGAAGAUAGGAAUGGGUAGUACCAUUCACAGUUUGAAUUGGUGAGAGAUUUUAACUGAAUGCAGGCAGCCACUGGAAUCCAGGGAAGGGCAUUCAACAGUGCCAUGGUAUGUGUGAAUUUAGGCAGGUUGAAGACCAGGUGAGCAGCAGUGAACGGGGGAACCCUUAGGGAACCCUUUUCCAUGAGGAAUAGAAGUACUGUCUUCUCUGGGUUGAGCUUAAGGUGGCGGUGAACAUCCAAGCUGCAAUGUCAGCUAGGCAUACAGAGAUACAUGCCUUAUCUCAGGUGUUACGAGGGAGAAAAUGAGUGAUGUGCUGAGUGUCAUCAGCACUGCAAUGAUAUGACAUGCCAGGAGGAGAUAACUGGACCAAGUAAUUCAGAGUAAAGACAAGUAGAGAGGGCCAAGCAAUAUGCCCUGUGGGACUCCGGUAAAGAGGGCUUGGGGGGAGAAGACAGAUUGUCUCAAGACCACGUAUUAGGAUCGGUCAGCAAGAUAUAAGGAAAACUAUGCAAUCAAAAGCAUAAGAUAUCCAUCUCUACAAGGGAUGAAAGAUGGAUCUGGUGGUUGACAGUGUUGCACACAACUGCCAGGUCAAGAGAGAUGUGGAUGGAUCUCAAUGACUUGGCUCUUGCAGAGUGAAGUGCCCCGUGACUGCAAGGAGAGCAGUUUCAGUGGAGUGGCCAGACUUAAAGCUCAAUUGGCUGGGGUCGAGGAGGUUAUUCUGUAAGAGACAACUGAUUGCAGACUGCAGGCUUGAGAUUUUUAGAAAAGGAUGAGAGAAGUAGACAUGAAACCGCUCCAGAUGGCCAUUUGCAGUUGCUAAAAGGGAGGGACAGUUUUUAAAUAAGGCUUUAUGGAAUAUAUUUAUCCCUGUGCUUUGUGAAUGCGUGUAUGCAUCUCUCACUGGAAUAGCUUAAUGUGCUUACAAGAAUCCUCCUUAAGACUUUCACUACAGAACUGAAUGUACUAGCUCACUGCCAUUACUCAAUAUGCUGAACACUCUGCAAAGCACUUAAUGACAUGGCAAACUGAACAGAAAACGUGUAUUAUUUAUAUUACACAGGGCAUGCCUGUAUGUUGACACAGCAAUGUCACAAAAUUUUGAUGAGACCGGCAUUGCCCAAGUAAACAGCAUCACCACUAUCUAUUUUGAGAAACAUAAUAUAUUUCAGGAUACAUUUACAAUGUAGCACAAUCAUAACAGGAUAGUUUAUGUGACCUUUAGGUUAUAUGUUUGAUUUCUGGGUUGGGAGAUGCUCUUAAGCAAGGUAAUUAACCUGAAUUUAUUUAAUAAAUAUAAAGCUGUAUAAACAGAUUGCAUGUAAAGUAUAUGAGGUAUGCAAGCCACCCUGGAUAAGAGGGUAUGCUAAAUGGCUCAAUUGUUUUCAUGUUAUUAGAGGCCCUGAUUCCACUAUAAAUCUUGGUGAUAUUGCACGUUCUUAUUCCCGAGAAUAACACUGAUGUUCUGCACUUUUGCAAGUCACUUUGUAUGAGAGAAUCUGCAAAGUGAUUGCAAUACAAUGUCAAAUCAUUCAACUAAUAAACACAAAUGUACAAUCCCAAAGAAACUGUUAACUUACCCUGUUAUCUUGCAGUCAUGAAAUGUCUUCCUGUUAAGUAUGUAAAAUUGACUGUUUUAUGUUCACCGCUCAUUUUUAUGACCAGCAGAAAUUAUGCUAAGCAUCUGAAAUGCACAAUGAGCAAAUAACACAUUUUGUUUAACAUA